rnacentral:rRNA from 1 species
UAAUAAUGCCAUACUACCUUGAGAAUGCCCAAUCUGGUCGGAUCCCGGAAACUAAGCAAGGCCUGGUCUGGUUAGUACUUGGAUGGGAGACUGCUUGGAUUACCAGGUGCCAUACUAG